GCCUGGGUGGCUCAGUCAGUUGAGCAUCCGACUUCAGCUCAGGUCACGAUCUCACGGGUUUGAGUCCCGUGUUGGGCU
rnacentral:tRNA from 1 species